UGCACGACUCUCGGCAACGGAUAUCUUGGCUCUCGCAUCGAUGAAGAACGUAGCGAAAUGCGAUACUUGGUGUGAAUUGCAGAAUCCCGUGAACCAUCGAGUCUUUGAACGCAAGUUGCGCCCGAGGCCAUCUGGUCAAGGGCACGCCUGCCUGGGCGUCUCG
rnacentral:rRNA from 1 species